CAGAGGCAGCAGAUUCAGCAGAACAGAACCGGGCCGAAACCUGAACCCAUUCCAGUUUCCAGGGGUUCUGGAAAAAUGGCUUCUUUCUGGA